rnacentral:rRNA from 1 species
GAUGAACGCUGGCGGCGUGCCUAAUACAUGCAAGUCGAGCGAACAGACGAGGAGCUUGCUCCUCUGACGUUAGCGGCGGACGGGUGAGUAACACGUGGAUAACCUACCUAUAAGACUGGGAUAACUUCGGGAAACCGGAGCUAAUACCGGAUAAUAUAUUGAACCGCAUGGUUCAAUAGUGAAAGACGGUUUUGCUGUCACUUAUAGAUGGAUCCGCGCCGCAUUAGCUAGUUGGUAAGGUAACGGCUUACCAAGGCAACGAUGCGUAGCCGACCUGAGAGGGUGAUCGGCCCCACUGAAACUGGAACCGGGUCCGAACCCUUACGGGAGGCAGCAGUGGGGAAUCUUCCGCAAUGGCGAAAGCCUGACGGAGCAACGCCGCGUGAGUGAUGAAGGUCUUCGGAUCGUAAAACUCUGUUAUUAGGGAAGAACAAAUGUGUAAGUAACUAUGCACGUCUUGACGGUACCUAAUCAGAAAGCCACGGCUAACUACGUG